rnacentral:tmRNA from 1 species
AACAAUAACUGCAAUUUUCGAAAGAAAAGAAGAAGAAGUCGAAGAGGCUUCUUUCGCAGAAGCUCUCGCUGCAUAGCUUGAGCCGGAACUCGUAGGGUGCUGUUCCUAACUUUACGACUUCCGUCACAAACAGGGACUUGCCGCUCGUAAUUUUUGGGGUGCGGGCGGGACUUUUACUCAGAAUACGGAGGAGACGCUUGUUAUGCUGCUACCUGCUCCCGACAACUACCUCGCAUAACUAAACAUGUAGAUGUAUUUGGCUUCCACUUUCGGACGGGGGUUCAAUUCCCCCCAUCUCCAAAA